rnacentral:miRNA from 8 species
AGUUGGAGGAUUGGGUCUCAGCA